CCUCAGGUGAUGCACGUGCCUCAGCCUCCCAAAGUGCUGGGAUUCCAGGCGUGAGCCACUGUGCCCGGCAGAACAGGCUUUUGACUCUAAGAUUUAUCUACACACACACACACACACACACACACACACACACACAAAUAAGGGCUCAGUUUGGUGCUUUAGAUGGCAUUAAGAAAUUAAUUAAAGAAAGAAAAAAGAUUAGAAAAUAUUCUAAUGCAUUACAGGUCAUAAAGGUAAGUAAUGUUUUGUGAAGUUUCAAAUAUAGAAUAAAGGUACUAAAAUCACAGUGUAAAAUUAAUUUUAUUUUGUGGAUUCCAGUAAGGAAAACAAAAAACAAAAAACACCAGAAACAAACAUACUGACAUCAGGAUGCUCUCAUCCCUUCAGGCUAUUCUUCCUUGGUAAAGUCACUUGACUGCUGACAGUCUGUUUCCUGGACUAUAAAAUGAAGAUGCUAUGAAUACUGCUGAAGUGACUAACUGAUGACGUAUCAAUGUCAAACAUAAGUAUCGGUGAAAGAACUAUUUUGAAAUAAACAUCCUGGUUAAUCACUAAGGUCUAAGGAGGAAAACUGAAGACGAAGUUCAACAGACCCGUCACUAGUGGAGCCUGGCUUUCUCCUUGGAGAAAGCAGUAACCAGACUCUACCUAUUACAAUGAGAAGCUGCACUCAGGAUAAUUAUGGCUCGGUAAACCAUCAGCAUUCAGCAGGCAGUAAUUGAAAUUUCAUAGGCUCAUUAGCAGGUGGGAGAGGUACUGUGGCUGAGAGCUGCCAGCUGAGUAGAUUGUACAGUAUUGCAAUUUGUCAUAAGGCACUGUACUGCUACUAUGUUAAAAGGAAAGCAGGAAAAUAAAAGGUACUUUUUCUU
rnacentral:lncRNA from 1 species